rnacentral:rRNA from 1 species
UACGUAGGGUGCGAGCGUUGUUCGGAAUUAUUGGGCGUAAAGAGUUUGUAGGCGGUUUGUUGCGUCUGCCGUGAAAAUUCGAGGCUCAACCUCGAACUUGCGGUGGGUACGGGCAGACUAGAGUGUGGUAGGGGAGACUGGAAUUCCUGGUGUAGCGGUGAAAUGCGCAGAUAUCAGGAGGAACACCGAUGGCGAAGGCAGGUCUCUGGGCCACUACUGACGCUGAGAAACGAAAGCAUGGGGAGCAAACAGG